UGACCUCAGAUCAGAUAAGGAUACCCGCUGAACUUAAGCAUAUCAAUAAGCCGGAGGAA
rnacentral:rRNA from 1 species